AUACAGAUUGUGUUCUCAAUGUCCAUAGCUGCCGCAGGUGUUUACGGUGGAGGUGUCGCCAUCAAAAACCAUCAGCAAAAACACCACCAAGUCAAUGAUACAAGUACAAGAGGAAGUUUUGCCAUGCAAUAGUCGACCGCUAACGCCCUUUUCGAUCAAUUUCGUAAGUACGUAUCGAAACAGUCAUAUCGUUGCCAACUAGCUUAAUCCUCAUCUUCUAGGUGUAAGGAGUACUACCAGAGACGCAAGAAAAGCAAGAAUACAAUCCAAAAAGUUUCAGCCUUGACUGUAAAUUAAGUGAAUUCAAUUCAAACACUAAGGAUUGCACUGGCUUAAUAAUAAACAAUAAAAACAAGAAUACAAUCGCAGGAAUACUCAAAAAAAUUUCCAACCGUGACUGUACGUGAGUUUAAAUUUUAAAUCUACAACAAAUCCAUUUAGUUUGGUCCUAAGAAUCGCACUGGCUUAACGGUGGCAAUCUUUCGGAGGCAAAUGAGCUGGCCCGACAAGAAUCCCCAAGAAGCCAAACAGAUUCACAUCAGUCUCUCGGCAGCUACUGACGAUGUCGGCGAGUUGAAUCCAUCGAUUUUCACACAGAAAAUCAACAUCAAAAAAUCACUACUCCUAGCGGAAGCGAUCUCUGCGUUGUCGACAAUGCGAACCCAAUGUCAUCAAGCCGGAGUACCAACCGGGGCUCUUGCAUUGCAACAGUGUGCGAACAUCAGUGUAAAUGCGAGGCAGCGGCUACUGCUGCCGCCGAAGCUGACACCGCCUACAUAGAAGAGGUAGGUGAUACGAAUGCCGUUUUAGAAGGAACUUGUUGCGACAAUUAUAGUACCACCUAAAUGACGGGAGUCGAAAAUCAUUGAAUUCCCUGCAAUUUUAAGAAACUUAAAGGCUGACAAAAAGAAGCUGAAUUAAAGGAAUUCUUAAUGCCUAUUGAAUCACAAAAGCUUCUGUUUAGAAGUAACUGGCAUCGAUACAAGAAUGCCCCUACCAAUUGCCCUAAUGAUGUUCCAAGAGUUGCUGCGCAAAUAGUAGCGAGCCGGCAACCUUCACGUAGUGAGAAUAUCCGAUUGGAAUUUGCCUCGUAAAAGAAUGAUGGCAAGAAUACUUCAAACUACAAAUCAAAAUGAAGCUUAGUCGAUUUGACUUCUGCCGUUCGGUUGAUUUGACGAUAUGCUAAGAAUCUUUCCAUGAUUAGUAAAGAUUCGUCGUGGAGUACUUAGUUUUUAAGUGAAGUUUUAAUUUUUUCAAAAUUGUAUGUAAUUGGGUAUAAUUUUUGUUUUUAAAAUUCAAUUUCAUUAUAGAUUAUAGGUUUUAAAAUGUAUAUUACAGCUCCCAAAUUGAGUGAAAUUAAAUCUAAGUAUAAAUUGAAAAUAAAGUGAAAUUGUUUUCAGGGUUCUAUCAUUAUAUGAAAUUGUAUAUUAAAAAAACAUUUUGAUUGACUGUUA